AAAAAAAAAGCCGUGGACACUUCGCCGAGCUGAUUAUACGCCUCCUUUUAAAAUUCACACUGAUUCCCCCUUCUGGCCAGUGCAUCCUUUCUGCUACUUACUGGAUUUUUUUGGUGAAGUUUUUCGAAACUAUUCCUCCCUCUUCCUGUUUUUCUUCGUGUUUUCCUAGAACGAUGCAAAGGGGAAAAAAAGGUCAGGAAAGGAAAUAAAACUGUGCGACAUCUUACGUUUGAUUUGCCUGGAAGAGGAAUCUGUUCAAGAUCGAGAGUUUCAAGAAUUGCUCACCCGCGGAGAAAGUGAGGACUGCAGAUGCAGGAGAUCAGAGUCGAGAAUGUGGUGCUGUAAAAGAACAGCAAGUCAGGCAGCGUCCGAGGAGCAGGAGAAUCGACAUUUUGGGCAUAAGCCCUUCAUCAGGAAUCCUCCAUAACCAUGGACAGAAUCUGUGCCUAUACAUGGUCCCUCAAACUCUUGUGCUCUAAUUUUGCUUAUUAAAUUAUAUGUGGGACCUUAUCAAAA